AAUCGCGUCGAGCCCACAGAUGGAGCGCAAGUGCUAUGCUCUACAGGUUGUAAAAGCAUAAUGCGAACAACAUUAUUAAUUUGAGUCGGGUUUUCCUAUAAAAAGCCCGACAAUCCCUGCAGCCUUCUCUUUGGCUGAACUUUUCUAGAAAGGUCUAGAAGUGCGCGCGUGUGUAGUUUUCUUUAAUGUGAGAGGUUAGAAAGUUAAUUCCUCAUGUGGUGCAAUUGUUUUAAUUUGGUGUUUUUGUUUCUUUGUUAGGUUCAAUUAGUAAGAUAGUUAAUACAAAGUUCGUUAGUAAGGUGUUAGUCGCUGUAAAAUUGUUAUAAAAAUUUAUAGUUAAAAUACGACACAAAGCAAACAACAAAAACGAACACGUUAAAAAGCAACAAGAAAAAGGUCCAAAGUAUGGGCCUUUUUCUGUAUUUUUGGAAUAAUCCCCAGCAACCUCGGCGGCGAGAAUGGCGACAGGAGGUCGGCAUCAGCAGCGCACCGCAAUAUGCUUCAGCCAAAGCCGCCAUUGUUAUGGCAUCCAUGUGGCUCAACGCAACGGAGCCCAACAUUUCGACCAGACGUCCGGUAAUUUCACCGAUGUUCGCCAACGCCUGCCGCUGGAGUCAAACCACGCUUCCGAGGCCGCUUUCCGCCAUCUCCGUCGGCAUCUGCUAGACUGGCUCAACGUAGAUCGCUCUACUAGGUUACAGAGCGAGCUACCCGUAUGCGGAACCGGAGGUUCCCCCAAAACCUGUCGACCGACCACAACCGCAAGUAUAAACCCCCUGCAAAACUGACGUCACAACAAUAAAACAGACGAGGUCGUAAAACUGA